GAUGAACGCUGGCGGCGUGCUUAACACAUGCAAGUCGAGGGGCAUCAGGAAGAAAGCUUGCUUUCUUUGCUGGCGACCGGCGCACGGGUGAGUAACACGUAUCCAACCUGCCCUUUACUCGGGGAUAGCCUUUCGAAAGAAAGAUUAAUACCCGAUAGCAUAAUGAUUCCGCAUGGUUUCAUUGUUAAAGGAUUCCGGUAGAGGAUGGGGAUGCGCUCCAUUAGGUUGUUGGUGAGGUAACGGCUCACCAAGCCUUCGAUGGAUAGGGGUUCUGAGAGGAAGGUCCCCCACAUUGGAACUGAGACACGGCCCUU
rnacentral:rRNA from 1 species